GAGGAAAGCUGGAGGCGUGCCUAAUACAUGCGAGUCGAGCGAACAGACGAGGAGCUUGCUCCUCUGACGUUAGCGGCGGACGGGUGAGUAACACGUGGAUAACCUACCUAUAAGACUGGGAUAACUUCGGGAAACCGGAGCUAAUACCGGAUAAUAUAUUGAACCGCAUGGUUCAAUAGUGAAAGACGGUUUUGCUGUCACUUAUAGAUGGAUCCGCGCCGCAUUAGCUAGUUGGUAAGGUAACGGCUUACCAAGGCAACGAUGCGUAGCCGACCUGAGAGGGUGAUCGGCCACACUGGAACUGAGACACGGUCCAGACUCCUACGGGAGGCAGCAGUAGGGAAUCUUCCGCAAUGGGCGAAAGCCUGACGGAGCAACGCCGCGUGAGUGAUGAAGGUCUUCGGAUCGUAAAACUCUGUUAUUAGGGAAGAACAAAUGUGUAAGUAACUAUGCACGUCUUGACGGUACCUAAUCAGAAAGCCACGGCUAACUACGUG
rnacentral:rRNA from 1 species